rnacentral:sRNA from 1 species
UGAGAUCUCAGUAGAAGCUUCCAACUACUUUAGUCAACUUUAGAUUAGACCUCAGAUCAGGCAGGAUUACCCGCUGAACUUAAGCAUAUCAAUAAGCGGAGGAAAAGAAACUAACAAGGAUUCCCCUAGUAACGGCGAGUGAAGCGGGAAGAGCUCAAAUUUGUAAUCUGGCACUUUCAGUGUCCGAGUUGUAAUCUCGAGAAGUAUUUUCCGCGCCGGACCGCAUACAAGUCUGUUGGAAUACAGCGUCAUAGUGGUGAGAACCCCGUAACUGAUGCGGAUGCCCGGUGCUUUGUGAUAUACUUUCGAAGAGUCGAGUUGUUUGGGAAUGCAGCUCAAAUUGGGUGGUAAAUUCCAUCUAAAGCUAAAUAUUGGAGCAAGACCGAUAGCGAACAAGUACCGUGAGGGAAAGAUGAAAAGCACUUUGGAAAGAGAGUUAACAGUACGUGAAAUUGUUGGAAGGGAAACGCUUGAAGUCAGACUUGCUAUUCGGAGUUCAGCCGCAAGGUGUAUUCUUCGAUUUGCAGGCCAGCAUCAGUUUUUGGGGGUGGAAAAUCGUGGUUUGAAGGUAGCAGUUUCGGCUGUGUUAUAGCUUUCCACUGGAUUCAUCUUCGGGGACUGAGGAACGCAGU